GGUCCUCUGUGCAAACUCCACCUGCUGCCACUCCUCCUGGGUGAAGUCUACAGCCACAUCCUUGAAUGACACUGGCCCCUG